GCCCGGAAGCCACAAAGUCCCCUCUGUCAUCUCUCCUAGUCCUACUCCAGCCGUCCCAGCCGCUGUCCAACUCCCCGGCCGGGGUUUGUGCAGCGGCUUGCACACCCCUCGGCCAGUGUACGCGCUUUGCACCUGCCUGCCCGAAAACAUGUUGCAGAAACCAGAGAGCGGGGGUCUCCCUAUCCCUCAGGGGGAGGGGGAGGGGGAGAUGGAUGGUGGCCACGACAGUGAGACCCAGGCCCUGACCGCCUCGCAGGAGGUGGCCCCGAGCCCCCUCCUGCAAGAGAGCCCCGAGGAGGACCUUGGCGCUGUAAGGGAGGAGGGGGCUGCGGAGCCCUCCAUCACCCUGAAAGGUGCGAGGGCUUUGGCAGCCAAAACCUUGGCCCGGCGCAGGGUUGCCUCCGUCUGGAUCAGACGGUGGCCGAGUUGGUGCAGUUUCUGCUGGUGAAGGACAGGAAGAAGAGUCCUAUCCCCCUCUCCGAGAUGGUGAAAUACAUUAUCAGAGACCUAAGGGAUCUGUUCCCUGAGAUCAUCGCAAGGGCCGCAGAGCAUCUGCGGUAUGUCUUUGGUUUCAAGCUGAAACAGCUUGACCGCAAGCACCACACUUAUAUCCUGAUCAACAAACUAAAACCUCUUGAGGAGGAGGAGGAGGAGAUGGCCCCAGACUGGGUCUUUUAAUGAUGAUGUUGGGCUUUAUCUACAUGAAAGAUAAUAGCACCAGGGAGGCACAGGUCUGGGAGAUGCUGCGUUGGUUGGAGGUGCGUCCCUCAAAGUAUCACUCCCUCUUUGGGUGCCCGAGGAGGCUUAUUAUGGAAGAUUUCGUGCAGCUGAGAUACCUCAAUUACCGGCUUGUUUCUCACACCAAUCCACCGGCAUGUGAAUUCUCUUGGGGUCCCCGAAGCGACCUGGAAACCAGCAAGAUGAAAGUCCUGGGGUUCGUGGCCAAGCUCCAUAAGAAAGAACCCCAACACUGGCCGAUGCAGUACCGUGAGGCCCUGGCAGACGAGGCUGACAGGGGCAGUGUGAGGGCUAGGGCCAGGGCUAAUGCUAAUGCUGGGGCCGGCAUCCACCCCUGGUGAGGGCCAGCCAGAGGUGGGGCGGGGGGAAGUUGGGUAUAAAAGCUACUGUCUGAGUCAUAAGUAGACUAGAUGGGGAGAAGGUCGUUAUUUCUGAAGCAAUUGUAUUUGUGUAACUAGGAUUUAGGUCUUGUAUCUUGCUAAGUUUUGUUACGUUUAAUACUUAAAUUGAUGUUUAUAAAUGAGAUUGGUCUACUUUUUCCUGUAGGAUUUUGUUGUAGAGUUUUGCUGCUUUUGUAAAAUUAAUUGAAAAACUUUACAUUUUAUUCUGUGAUCUUGAACAAAUUAUGGAGCACUGAGUGCUGUACUUAAAUGGUUUGAAGGAACUCACCAGUAUGAUGAUCUGGUACCAGGGAAAAAUAUAGCUGAUUGGUAUCUAGCUUUCCAACAGUUUUUGUCUACUGUGCAAAGAAAAAAGACUGACAUUUAACUCUGUUUGCUUAGUUAUGGUAGUAGCUGGGGGGGAAAUGCAAUAACCUGGUACACUUAAUAAACAUUUGUUAAGCA